CUACCCGCUCAGGGCAUGCGGGCUGCAUUUGGGCGUAGCGGCUGGAACGAGGCGCUUCUGGUUUGGAGACGUUAACGACGACGGGUCCCCGAGGCAGGUGCCAUCCUCUGCCCAGGGGUAGGCCACCGGGACAGAAGAAGUGAUUCCCCCACAGAUGCAAAACCUCACAUCCAACCAGCAUCUGUUCCACGGGACACCAGAGGAGCGGUCGCUAAACAUGCACUUAACUGGAGUGGAGACGCAUAACAUGCAGUAAGCAGCUGCCAAUUGAUGGGAAAAUAUCACAAAGACGGAGAUAAUGAGAGUCUCUGAUUUGCUUGACUGGUGUGAAGAUUUGACGUUUAGGAAACAUCUGCACCCGACUAAAGAAACUCCAUCUAUGACCCUCGGCUCUCUGGCUGCAGGUAGGACAACAAAUCUAACAUGCAGCCUCUUGCUAGGGUUUUUUCGGGGGGGAUAAAUUACUGGCCACAUCAAGGAUACUGCUGGGUUAGGCUUACUCUUCCAAAAGUAGGGAGAACAGAGACACCAUGUAUGAACGACAGGGGUUACAUACACUUUAUAUAGUUUAAAAAAAUGUCAUAUAAAUGAUAUAUAAAAACCACUACUACAUAACAGUAAGGGGUAACUAUAAUGAUGAUGAACACAGUGAUAGCAUGAUGAUGAUCAGAAACAUUCAGGAUUUACCGGCAUGAAGACCGUUUUGAGUGAUAUAUUGAUUUACUCAACUUUGCAAUACUGCCACGGGGAUAAGAAGCCAAUAAAUGGAUGGAUGAAUCAUUAAAGUUUUUAAUAAAAUUGCAUAUAUUCUCUGGGAUGCAAAGGGUAGCAGGUAAUAAACAGUUAAAAUCCUGAAAACUAAGGACGGCAUUUGGUUUCACAUGUCAAACAUUAUUUGCUUAUUUAGCAGACAUUUUUGUCCAAAGUGAUAUACAAGUGAAGAUCAUACAGCUGGGUCAGACACUGUCCCAGGGGCAACUGGGGUUAACAGCCUCAAGGACUCAAGAGUGACAUCACUCAGCCAGGCAUGGGAUUUGAACCAGCAACCUUUCAGUUACCAGAACAGAGUGCUAACCUGCAGAGUCAGGCACCAACCCAUGUGACUGACAGACUGCUGUGUUAGAUAAGACUCGUGCCCCCCAGGCCUGUCCCACUAAACUGUGCUCUCCGAUCUUACUACUUAGAUGCAUUUUAGAACAAAAAAUGGCAAAAAAGACUGGCCUGCCGCAGUUACAUACCAUCACAGAAACACAAUCAUUUAAACUGAGCAGUUUUAAAGCAAUGGCACAAGCCUGGAAGAGCCAGCAAAUUGACCGUGAGUGUGCCAAGUGUCACUUGAAAUCUCACAAUAAGAUCAGAUAUGUAAGGGCUGGGUGGGGUCAUUAAAUGUACCCCAAUUGCUUAUCAUUUCUCUCGGUGUUUUUGGCACCAAAAAUCAGUCAUGACUGCAGCUCCUCUUUCCAUCCUGCCACAUCCACGUGAAUACCAAUAUUUAGCUCAUUUGUGUGUUCGCUGCAAACAUUUACCACAGGAGAAACAAAUUAUACAGUGAGCAGCCUAUGAACACACUCUGUAAUUAUCAAAAGGUCAAAUCUGGGGGGGGUUAUGAUUGUACUGCUUUGUUUCUUACAAUUUCCUACUUUAAUAACCACCUGUGUGAACCCCUGAGGUCAAUGAAGUGUGUGUGUUAAAAAGGAAUAGAUAUAAAAUUUUAACAAGGACAUUUCUAGUAUUAUCCCUAUUGGCAUCGUAAAUUAUCACAAAUGUUGUUAGGAUUGAAACAAGGGCCAUAGGACAAAGGCUCUAUGCUGAGAAUCCAUGUGUUCGCAAAAAGCGUUUAAGGCAAGCUAGCUGACAGAAUGACACUGACCCUCAGCCUACCUUAUGAGCUGGCCACCACAAUUCAAGUGGGGCUAUUAAGGACAUGAGUUUGGGACCUUAUACCCUACAGCUCUAUGAACAAGCAUACCAGGAACAAAAGGAGUUACCUCACAGUGGGAAAACAGCUACAGUCAUGGAAUGAGAAGGGACCUUUGGCCCCUUAAAGGCUAUUUGUUCCAACCCAUAUCAUUCCCCUUCUGGAGGUGGACGCUGAAGAAAUAUGAUACUACAGACCAGGGGCACAGGAGCAGACAACAGGGAAAUCAAAUAAGAAGAGGAAAAUAGUUUCCGUCUUCCAUCAAGAAAGGGCUCAAUCCUAUCAACCCAAGCAAUUAAACUACACAAUACUGAAAACCAGACCUAUUUAGAGUUCUCUCAGUAAGUGUCCCAUGGUAAUCAGCAGAGAAAUUAGCUCUGCACAACAGUAAGUGUGGUCACCACGUGAGGGAUUGGGGCCUGUGGGAGUCCAGCAUAGGUGCACCAACCCCAGAUGGCUAAAGACAUGUCCAGACCCACAAACAUGUAAAUUUUGCUUCCUCUGAUCCCCAAACACACGCAUAAACCCAAGGCAGCACAUCAAUGGGUAACGGCAAUCGCCAGUGUGUCCAAAACUAAGCCCAUACAUCAUGACAGGGAGAGGAAGCUGUCAGCAUUCACUUGCUGUAAAUGAUCAGAAUCACCAAGAACUCCACCCUUUCCCAUACAGCCAGGGGCACCCAGGCUUCUUCACCAAUGACUCAUGCAAAUUCCUCACCAAUGGCAUUAUCUGAACUCCCAUCUAAUUGUUAAAGCCAUACUUAUAGUGCCGGAACACGUACACGUACAUACAUACUCACUCGGUUCAUUAGCAGGAUCCCCCACAGGAUGGCUGACUAGCAGGAUCCUAUCAAACCCACAAACCUGAAGUUAGUGGCCCAGCUGUGAUUACCACACCAUCCCACAGAGGCUGAAAGCACUACUCAAGUUUGAGAACCUGCAGCAACAUCCUGCCCAAAAGGAGCCCCAGAAGGAACAGGGUUUCUAAUAUAACAGGGGCAGGGCCAUAGUUUACUCUUUGGUGACAGACAUUCCGAAUAGAGACUGAAAGGAAUGGGGUUAGAAAACGCACCAGGGCAGCAAGAUGGGAACUAGUAAUCUGGUUAACUGCUGAAUUGACCGUGUUUUCAAGACUUCACACCAGCAUUGAUCCUUUCGAUUUGCACAAACAAGAACAGGAUAUUCAAGAGACACAUCGAUCCUCAUUUCUGCAACUUCAGUGGGACAGCCAGCCACUGAUGGCCUUCAGUACACAGCGGCAAUCCCAGCUUAAACGCUGAUGGCUCAGGUCACAGAAGACACUUAGCUAUCAAACAGCAGACUGAACCAGAACUGCUCCAGCAGAAAACUGCAGGAAGAGCAAGACUGCAACCACUGAAUAUUUUGAUAUUUAAUUUUUCCAUUAGACCUGGAUUAUUACAUCAUACUACUGUCUUUAUAAACCCAUAUAAUUCACUGCAACAUCCUGAAGUGUUAAAAUGCUGAAUAUAUUAAUGAAGAGCAUACAGUAUUAGACAGAACAGCAUCGACAAGCUGAAUAAUUUUAUUACAAAAGUUACCAUCAGUUAAAUCAUUCAAGUUUUGGUCUUUAACCAAAACCUGGCACCUCCGAAAAAACACAUUAAAACGCCUCAUAGCUGUUUCACAAAGCAUACUGCUGAAAAGAAGGGCUUUCAUUCCAAUUUAUAUUUUGCAUAUUUUACUGCAUACAGAACUACUGUGUGAAAAAUUUUUUUGCCAGUACUAGCCAGCUUGAUUUUCUUGCUUUCCCUCUGUCUUUUUCUUCCGCUCAGUUUUAACAGACGUGCCACAAACGUCUUCCCUGCCACUCUGCUUUACAAAGUGAAAUUGGAAUGUUCUGUGAUUGUCCCAUUUGCAGAAAUGCCAAAGUAACUGCUACAGAUCAACAUUACACAUAAUGCGCGUUAGUGUUUUUUAUUUGUGACAUUCUCAUGAUUUAUCAAAAUUAUCAAAUAGUAGUUGCAGCGCAUGGAGAGGGCAUUUACAAGCAGGCAUGGCCACUAGCUUGAGCAAGUAAUUCAGAAGAUGCUUUAGAGCCUUAGUCAUCGAGGAGAGAAGGGGCAAUGACGCUUUAUAGAAGGACGGAAAGGAGAUGCUGACCAGAACUCUAGGGCUCUGACUGUGCAGAUGGUGCAAAGGUUCAAGGGACGGUUGGCGGUUUCACUACAUAUGACUGCCGGAGAAUUAACGGCUUUGGAAACAGGCCGUCGGGCUUCAUGUGCCCCUUCCGAAACUCUUACAGUUGCAGAGCAGCAGCUGUUUAUAGCUGCUAGAGAACACGGUAGACCACCAUACGUCUGUUUUAAUCCUAUUACCAGAUGCCGGCUCCCAUCAGAAACCCCUCCCGUACUCGAUUCUAGAGUAGACUGUAAUUACCACGUCUGGAUGGAACCAGAGGGUAACAGCGUUGCGAUUCUCCUGGGUGCAGAAGCAUUAGCCACAAUUCCCGUGGCUCACCGAAGUCUGGCAUGAGGUGACACAACUUUCCUUCAGUUGCCCCUUGUCCCCCACCCCCAAGCUGAGGUGGAAAGUUCAGGUCCAGAAAGUACAA